rnacentral:lncRNA from 1 species
UUCAGACCUUUGAUAUUCUAUAGUCACUGUAAUGAAUUACAAAUAUACGAUCUAUAAGUAGUAUCUAAUACCUAAGUAUCAGAGUCUGAGCCACUCAAUAAAAAAUAGAUUUAUAUCAUAUACAUAUAUUUUGGUGCUAUACUUGCACCCUGCUUCAAACUUGCAAGAUUAUUCUUGCAAUUAUACUCCCAAUAUCCAGACUUGCCAUAAAAUAAACAACUAAUAUCUAUAUAGACAUCUUUUGCCUUCUCAUUAUUACUGACCAUCCCA